ensembl:lncRNA
CUGGUGGGAGGGGAAAUUGGGGACCCGAGUUGGUGGAUGACGUAGGUCUCACGUGACCAAGAGCUGACGUGUGCAGAAGUCCUUCUUGUUCUGGUCGUUGUUCCCGUCUGAGUAUCAGCUCCCCAUUGCCCCGAGGGCCAGUGGGCCUGCAGCAGAGGAAAGAAGGAGGAGGAGAAGGAGAUUGUCCCGGAUCCGUGCAGUCUUUCCGUAGGUUGCGGCACCACGCCAGACUAGAGAAGAGGAAGGAAAUUAACCCCAAUCCGUGAAGGUCGAUUUGAGGGUCUGCUGUAGCAGGUGGCACCAGUAUAAACGAGGGAGGAAGUUUCCUUGGAUCAGUAGAGAUUGCAAGGGUUGUUGGGCGUGGCUCAUCUCCAGGGGAGGGAAGAAGGGGCAAACUGCCUGUCUGGAGGAGGUUAGUGCAAUGGUGCUGCUCCCUGGGAACAUCCAAGUUUGGGGUAGCUGAGGCCCCAGCAGAGAGGAUGGGCUCCACUGCCUUUAUCUAGGCUUGGGGA